CCCUUUUCCUCAGUCUAAUUUCCCCUCAUCUGUGACCAUACUUACCCAUUCUGGGUCCCAUUCCUGACCUCAUCACUGUCUGGUCCUUCCUUUGCUCCUGUUCUGCCCAGGCUUCUCUCUCACUCAUUUCCCAAUCCACUACUUGUCAUCAGACCUGACCUUAGUGAAGCCCAGCCCUCCAACCCAGACCUCCUAACAGACAAACCUGCUCCUCUACCUUGUAUGCAUUCCCACCGUUCCUGGUCCUGUCUAGGCCCUCCUCAUUUUGGACCCUGUCCUCUUUCUGACGGCUGGCUUAAAAAUCCAAACCCUAAUUCUAACCCCAACAGUCCUCCUGUGUGACCCGGCAAAAGGCCUCUAUGCUGGCUGGCCUAUCGCACUAUUUCUGACUCUGAACCUGGUACUUAUCCCAAAUCCUUCACUGAAAUCAAGUGCCACAAAUACCCAUUCCACUAAGACCCCAGUUUUGACACCUGAUAUUCAUGUCCUUCCCAUCUCCCAAGCCAGGCGAAAGUGGAAACGUGGACCCUCCUCCGCAUGCCUCCAGGGACCCCUACCCGCUACUCAGCAGGCACCCCAGGAGACCCCUCCACAGCCCAGGUCCGUAGACCUAACUCCAGGCGGGCAGACUCCUCCACCCAAAGCCCGUCUCCCCAUCUGACCCCAGUCUAAUGACCCCGAUCUCUGACCACAGCCCGUGCUGUUAUCCCUGCACCCCCCAGUUUCCUUACAGCCCAAGAGUCCCGCUGGGAGCCGGGCGGGCUGUGUUCCCUGCCCACGGGACUCGAGUGCAGCCGCCUCUCCCGCGAGGUCAGGGCAGCCCCACUCACCUCCGCGUCCACCACCUCGUGAGUUAAGCCAGCAGCUGAAUUACUAAAUGAAGAGAUGAGCGGGGAAAGUAACAACAGCAACAACAACAUGUUUGCCGGAGAGAUUGGAGCGAGAACUGAAGAGAUCUGAGGGCAGAAGCAGCCAGAACAGAUGACGCUCCUGUGUGUAUGGAGCGAGAGUGCCUUUGGCAGUCAACAACAGAAAACUCAACAUAAGAUGGUAAAAAAAAAAAAGUUUCACCAAACCUGCAAUUCAUGGAUUUGGCUCUUCCGGCUGGACAGCAAGACCCAUGAGUCCUCCUGUCUCCUUUGUCCCAGAGUUGGAUUACAGUUCUAGAAGAUGAUGAUAUGGAGAGAAGCUGAAAAUGCAUGAACAUUUGGGGCAAGCAUGUAAGCAUUCCAAAACGACCUCCAGACCCCUUCCGGAGAAACCACAAAAAGACGGUUCCCGUGUUCACACAAGCACAUCGAUUGUGUUCUAUAUGUUGCCUUCUUUCUGUAGGGAUGCAGAGAGAAGUGCAAUUUCUUCAGCCUCUGGUAUGAAUAAAUUAUCCCUCCAUAACUUUGUCCUCCUCUACUGCCGCUACCAUCAUUAAUAAACAUCUGCUGAAUAUCAAUAACUGAGCUUCCGGUUUUAGCUAAGUUAUGUAAAAUAUGGUCUGUAUGCUCAGGAAACAU